GAAAUGCGAUAAGUAGUGUGAAUUGCAGAAUUCAGUGAAUCAUCGAAUCUUUGAACGCACAUUGCGCCCUUUGGUAUUCCUUAGGGCAUGCCUGUUCGAGCGUCAUCUAAACCUUCAAGCCCUGCUUGGUGUUGGGUGCCUGUCCCGCCUCCGCGCGCGGACUCACCUCAAAUCCAUUGGCGGCCCCUGCGUCGGCCACGAGCGCAGCAGAAACGCGAACUCGUGAGCCCGUCCGGGCGGCUCCCAGAAGCUACACCCACCCAGUUUGACCUCGGAUCAGGUAGGGAUACCCGCUGAACUUAAGC
rnacentral:misc_RNA from 1 species